rnacentral:lncRNA from 1 species
GAUAACUUCAAAGCAAAAUGAAGUUCAUUCUGCUGCUUUCCCUCAUUGGGUUCUGCUGGGCUCAAUAUGACCCACAUACUUCAGAUGGGAGGACUACUAUUGUCCACCUGUUCGAGUGGGGCUGGGUUGAUAUUGCCAAUGAAUGUGAGCGAUAUUUAGCUCCUAAGGGAUUUGCAGGGGUGCAGGUCUCUCCACACAAUGAAAAUAUUGUAGUUCAUAAUCCAUCAAGGACUUGGUGGGAAAGAUACUGAAAGACUCUGAAAGCUACAAAAUUUCCACAAGAUCUUGAAAUGAAGAUGAAUUCAGAGAUAUGGUAACAAGGUGCAACAAUGAUGGUGUCACUGAUCUGGGUGGUGGGUGAGGCAGUUAAAAGUAGUGAAUACUUUGGAAAUAGCUGCGAGACAGAAUUCAAAUUUAGUGCAAAACUUGACAGUUAUCCACAAGUGGGAUGGUGAGAAGAUGUGCUAUUUAAAGAACUUGAGAGAAGGUUGGGGUUUGGUGCCUUCUGAUAGAGCCCUUGUGUUUGAGGACAACGAUAAUAAUCAGCGAGGACAUGGUGCUGGAGGGGCAUCCAUCCUGACAUUCUGGGAUGCUAGAAUGUACAAAAUGGCUGUCGGAUUCAUGUUGACUCAUCCUUAUGGAUUCACAAGAGUAAUGUCAGGUUACUGUUGGAACAGAAAUUUCCAGAAUGGAAAAGAUCAGAAUUACUGGAUGGAACCACCUAAUAACGAUGGAGCAACCAAAGUUGUUACCAUUAACACAGACACCACUUGUAGCAAUGACUGGGUCUGUGAACAUCACUGGUGACAAAUAAGGAACAUGGUUGCUUUCUGGAAUGUGGUCAAUGGUCAGCCUCUAGUAAACUGGUGGGGUAAUGACAGCAACCAAGUAGCUUUUGGCAGAGGAAACAGAGGAGUCAUUAUCUUUAACAAUGAUAACUGGAUUUUGUCAGCAACUGUACAGACUAGUCUUCCUGCUGGCACAUUCUGGAGAUAAAGUCAAUGGCAAUUGCACUGGACUUAAAGUAAAUGUUGACAGUGAUGGCAAAGCUCACUUUUCCAUUAGUAACUCUGCUGAGGAUCCAUUCAUUGCAAUCCAUGCUGACUCGAAACUGUAA